GCGGUAUCCUAACCGUGCAAAGGUAGCAUAAUCACUUGUCCCCUAAAUAGGGACCCGUAUGAACGGCUAAAUGAGAACACGCCUGUCUCCCACGACUAAUCAAUGAAACUGAUCCCCCAGUACAAAAGCUGGAAUAAACCCACAAGACGAGAAGACCCCGUGGAGCUUAAAACACACUGCUAACCAAACCCCCGCACAUCAAAAGACCUACCAAAAACAAGCCCAUAGCAAGAGUUUUCAGUUGGGGCGACUGCGGAGAAAAACAGAACCUCCAUGAACCACGGCUAACCCCGCCCCCAGGCCGACAGACCAACGGACACAUAACUGACCCAGCACAACACUGACCACCGAACCAAGUUACCCCGGGGAUAACAGCGCCAUCCUCUUCAAGAGCCCAUAUCGCCAAGAGGGUUUACGACCUCGAUGUUGGAUCAGGACACCCCAGUGGUGCAGCCGCUACUAAAGGUGCGUUUGUUCAACGCUUAAAGUCCUACGUGAUCU
rnacentral:rRNA from 1 species